rnacentral:lncRNA from 1 species
CUGGUCACAGUGAGUGAGUCCUUGUCCUGUUGAUGAAUGGACAGAAUGGACGCAUUGAUUGGACACAUGAUUCCCCAUCUGACACUUCAUGACUCCAUGGCUGGGACACUUAGGGAUUGGCAUGAAAUUCCAUAAUAUAAUGAAAGUAAAACCCAGACCUUUGAAGACUGUCUUAAAGGAGAAGGUCAUGGUAAGAAGGGUUCCUGGAACUCAGGGCUCUGAUUUUUCUUCUGGAAACUCCUUUUGCAAAUUUCUUUCUGAUGUCCAUCACCUCGGCCAGUUCAGCAUAAUGGGGACCUUUUCACUCUCAGACCCUUCCUUUCACAUCCCUUCCAUACAACCCUGCAGCAAGGCCCAAGGCUCUCAUUCAUUGUUUCAAAAAAUGUUAAAUAACC